rnacentral:rRNA from 1 species
GCAUAUCAAUAAGCGGAGGAAAAAGAAACCAACAGGGAUUGCCUCAGUAACGGCGAGUGAAGCGGCAACAGCUCAAAUUUUAAAGCUGGCGUCUUUGGCGCCCGCGUUGUAAUUUGGAGAGGCAUCUUCGGUUUGGGCGCCAGCCUAUGUUCCUUGGAACAGGACGUCACAGAGGGUGAGAAUCCCGUGCCUGGCUGGCUGUCCCUUUCCAUGUGAAGUGCCUUCGACGAGUCGAGUUGUUUGGGAAUGCAGCUCAAAAUGGGUGGUAAAUUUCAUCUAAAGCUAAAUAUUGGCGGGAGACCGAUAGCGCACAAGUAGAGUGAUCGAAAGAUGAAAAGCACUUUGAAAAUAGAGUUAAAAAGUACGUGAAAUUGUUGAAAGGGAAGCGCUUGAGACCAGACUCGGCCGGAGAUGAUCAGCCGUCCUUCUGGGCGGUGCACUCGUUUCCGGCCGGGCCAGCAUCGGUUGAGACGGCGGGAUAAAGGCCCGGGGAAUGUGGCUCCUUUCGGGGAGUGUUAUAGCCCCGGGCGCAAUGCCGCCAGCCUCGACCGAGGACCGCGCUUAAUUGCUAGGAUGCUGGCGUAAUGGUCUUCAGCGACCCGUCUUGAAACACGGACCAAGGAGUCUAACAUCUAUGCGAGUGUUUGGGUGUCAAACCCUUGCGCGUAAUGAAAGUGAACGGAGGUGGGAACCCCUCGCGGGGCGCACCAUCGACCGGUCCUGAUGUCUUCGGAUGGAUCUGAGUAGGAGCAUAGCUGUUGGGACCCGAAAGAUGGUGAACUAUGCCUGAAUAGGGUGAAGCCAGAGGAAACUCUGGUGGAGGCUCGCAGCGGUUCUGACGUGCAAAUCGAUCGUCAAAUUUGGGUAUAGGGGCGAAAGACUAAUCGAACCAUCUAGUAGCUGGUUCCUGCCGAAG